rnacentral:rRNA from 1 species
AAUGAACGCUGGCGGCGUGCCUAAGACAUGCAAGUCGAACGAGAAAAUUUUCUUCGGAGAAUGAGUACAGUGGCGCACGGGUGAGUAAGGCUUAGGUAACCUACCCUUUCGCUGGGGACAACAGGGGGAAACUCCUGCUAAUACCGAAUGACCCUGUCUUUUCUGCGGAUUAGAUAGGGAAAGACGUAAGUCGCGAAAGGAGGGGCCUGAGUACCAUUAGCUUGUUGGUGGGGUAAAAGCCUACCAAGGCUACGAUGGUUAGCUGGUCUGAGAGGAUGAUCAGCCACACUGGUACUGGAACACGGACCAGACUCCUACGGGAGGCAGCAGUUAGGAAUUUUGCGCAAUGGGGGAAACCCUGACGCAGCAACGCCGCGUGAGUGAGGAAGGCCUUAGGGUUGUAAAGCUCUUUCAGUAGAGAAGAUUAUGACGGUAUCUACAGAAGAAGCACCGGCUAACUCCG